rnacentral:tRNA from 1 species
UGUGCUGUGGCGAAAUUGGUUAACGGACGCUGUUUAGCGAAUUGGGGAGACGUGGGUUCAAAUCCCACCAGAAUUA